rnacentral:rRNA from 1 species
GACGAACGCUGGCGGCGUGCUUAACACAUGCAAGUCGAACGAGUGGCGGACGGGUGAGUAAUGCCUGGGAACCUAGCUUAUGGAGGGGGAUAACUACGGGAAACUGUAGCUAAUACCGCGUACCAUAGGAUGAGCCCAAGUGGGAUUAGGUAGUUGGUGAGGUAAAGGCUCACCAAGCCGACGAUCUCUAGCUGGUCUGAGAGGAUGACCAGCCACACUGGGACUGAGACACGGCCCAGACUCCUACGGGAGGCAGCAGUGGGGAAUAUUGCGCAAUGGGGGCAACCUGACGCAGCCAUGCCGCGUGAAUGAAGAAGGCCUUCGGGUUGUAAAGUUCUUUCGGUAGCGAGGCGUUAACUACAGAAGAAGCACCGGCUAACUCCUUGCCAGAAGCCGCGGUAAUUC